rnacentral:rRNA from 1 species
CAGCAGUCGCCGCGGUAAUACGAAGGGGGCUAGCGUUGCUCGGAAUCACUGGGCGUAAAGGGUGCGUAGGCGGGUCUUUAAGUCAGGGGUGAAAUCCUGGAGCUCAACUCCAGAACUGCCUUUGAUACUGAAGAUCUUGAGUUCGGGAGAGGUGAGUGGAACUGCGAGUGUAGAGGUGAAAUUCGUAGAUAUUCGCAAGAACACCAGUGGCGAAGGCGGCUCACUGGCCCGAUACUGACGCUGAGGCACGAAAGCGUGGGGAGCAAACAGGAUUAGAUACCCCCGUAGUCCCUGUCUCUUAUAC